rnacentral:misc_RNA from 1 species
AACUGAUACUACCUGCGGGAACCUGCGGAGGGAUCAUUGCCACACACGAUCCAAGAUCGACACUUAUUUGUGAAACGUUAUUGUUAUUUACUCUGUUUGGUUAUGAUGAAGUAGUAUACCCUCGGGUAAACUAUGUAGUUGUAGCUUAGGAGUACUUUAUCAAACACCCCUUUAAACAAACAUGAAUUAUGCAUUGGAACAAACAGUCAUAACAAGUUUGUCUUGAUAUGGCGACUAGAU